UAUGCUAAGGCUUGAAUACCCGUGUACAACCUUUAAAAUUUCAAUGGCAUAUUUUGAGCUGAAAUAGCACUAAGAGACUAAAAGAAGAAACAAUAAAGACACCCAUUUUGUCAUUACAUAAAUGCAAUAGCAGAUAAAUAGGAUGUUAAACAAGCUAAUUGAUAACCUUAAAGGCAUACAGAACUAGUUACAUUAAAAAUAUUGUUUAUAAAAUACUAAUCAAAAGCAAGAAAUCCACUGGGGGAUUCAACAUAGUAUAUGACCACCAAAAUUAAGCAAGGCAAAUAGAAAAGGAAAAACUUUACCUACCUGGAAAUGAACUCUUGGAAACUUCAUUGCAGCCCUUCAACAAUGAGACUUUUGCCCCCAACUUUAACCCACUGUGUUCGAAGCUUCAAAAUGUUAUGUGCCUCAGCCCUUGAUCGAAAGCCUGAAAACCGUGUACAAUAAUGAACAAUUUUAAUUAACAAAACGCAGAAAUUACAAAACAUCAAUCAUCAAACACCUUGUUACCAAGAACAAGGGCUCAACAAAUUCAUCUUCAAUAAAAAACCUACUUACCUCCACGGGAAGGGAAGAAACACAAACCAAGACCUCAACCAAGAUGCUGGAAGCAACCUCGUUCACGCGCAACAACAACCAUGUCUUAACAAAUUGAAUCUACCUCCUCACGCUGCGACAGCCCAAUGUCCUCACGCCGCAAUAGCACCGUCCUCACGCUGCAAUACCACCGUCCUCACGCCGCCACACCACCAGCGUCACGAAACCCCUUCCACAAAAUAACCACCGUUGUUGAACGGGAGAGGGUCUAAGGUUGAAGGGUGCAAGCUGUUUGGGGGAGAAAGCUUUCACGAGAGGAUUUUGGCAGAAUGGCUGGAGACGAAAAUCGAAUUUGUUAUUUCAUUAAGUCUGGCCAAUACCGACGGGCACAUUCCUUCGAUAAAGUCAUUCAGCCAAUACGGAGGGUUAAAAGCCCUCGGUAAUAAACACUUAAAAUGCCCGUCGGAAAAGCCUUCGGUAAAUCCCAAUUACCGAAGGCCUUAAGGCCAAUACCGACGGGCACAUUCCUUCGGUAAAGUCAUUCAGCCAAUACCGAGGGUUAAAAGCCCUCAGUAAUAAACACUUAAAAUGCCCGCCGGAAAAGCCUUCGGUAAAUCCCAAUUACCGAAGGCCUUAAGGCCCUCGGUAAAAACCCUUCGGUAAAUCCCAGUUUUCCUGUAGUGG
rnacentral:lncRNA from 1 species